rnacentral:rRNA from 1 species
AUUGAACGCUGGCGGCAGGCCUAACACAUGCAAGUCGAACGAGUGGCGGACGGGUGAGUAAUGUCUGGGAAACUGCCUGAUAGAGGGGGAUAACUACUGGAAACGGUAGCUAAUACCGCAUAACAUCAGAUGGGCCCAUAUUGGAUUAGCUAGUAGGUGGGGUAAAGGCCCACCUAGGAGACGAUCCCUAGCUGGUCUGAGAGGAUGACCCGCCACACUGGAACUGAGACACGGCCCAGACUCCUACGGGAGGCAGCAGUGGGGAAUAUUGGACAAUGGGCGCAAGCCUGAUGCAGCCAUGCCGCGUGUAUGAAGAAGGCCUUCGGGUUGUAAAGGACUUUUAGCGGGGAGGCGUUACCCGAAGAAGAAGCACCGGCUAACUCCGUGCCAGCAGCCGCGGUAAUAC